rnacentral:rRNA from 1 species
GACGAACGCUGGCGGCGUGCUUAACACAUGCAAGUCGAACGAUGAAGCCCAGCUUGCUGGGUGGAAGAGUGGCGAACGGGUGAGUAACACGUGAGUAACCUGCCCCUGACUCUGGGAUAAGCGCUAGAAAUGGCGUCUAAUACUGGAUAUGACCUAUCACCGCAUGGUGUGUAGGUGGAAAGAUUUAUCGGUUGGGGAUGGACUCGCGGCCUAUCAGCUUGUUGGUGAGGUAAUGGCUCACCAAGGCGACGACGGGUAGCCAGCCUGAGAGGGUGACCGGCCACACUGGGAGUGAGACACGGCCCAGACUCCUACGGGAGGCAGCAGUGGGGAAUAUUGCACAAUGGGCGCAAGCCUGAUGCAGCAACGCCGCGUGAGGGAUGACGGCCUUCGGGUUGUAAACCUCUUUUAGUAGGGAAGAAGCGCAAGUGACGGUACCUGCAGAAAAAGCACCGGCUAACUACGUGCCAGCCACCGCCGUAA